rnacentral:lncRNA from 1 species
GCAGUGACGGUCAGAGACACACAUAAGAUCGGCCACGAUGUAGGGACCGGUCGGGUUUGCGGGCCUGUUCCACCGAGAGACACAGCGCGCGAAUCGCCGGUCGCGUUGACGCUGUGCGCCUUUGAUAAGCGGUAUUCCUCCCCAGUGCUGGCGCGUCCACGAAUAAAGCCGCCCGCGGCAACAGUGGGCGCACGCGUCUUGAUCGACCAGAUGAGCACCGACCACGGCGACAAAGACCUCGUAGCGGCCGUCUGAUGCGGCCGCACAGGCGGCCAUGGUUGCCGCGCUAGGGUGGCGCCCCAAGAGCACCAGCAGAUCGUCUUCGCUCCAGGAGGUGGCCGCGCAGGCCGCGACGACGUCGUCCCACGGAUAGCCUUGUUCAAGCAGACGGUAAGUGAGCGAGCGGUCGCCCAUGGCUGCUGCCGUGGCCACGGCAAUGGCGCCGUCGAUCGGUGUGCCGAUCGCCAAAGUCACAGCGUCCACCAGAUCGGCGCUUCCCGUCAUCAACGCCAGCGCCGCAGCGCGACCCGUCCAUAUGCAUGGGAACGCGGCACACAGCCACAACACCAAAGCACGGUGCUUGCCCAAAAUCGCCGCAUCUACGGAUGCAUUGCCGAGCACGAGCGCUGACGGGUUGAUACCUUUCACGCAGGCCCGCCAGUGAUGGCACGUGCGCGCCGCCACGGGCAGCCAUGGACGGCCGACAAACCCUAUUAUCAUGUGCAGCAUUUCCGGGGGCAAGGUUUCCAUGGUGCGCGCGGGCGGUCUGCUUGCCUUUGGUGUCAAAGAGGUUGAAACCUAGUCCCUUGGAUGCCAAACUUUGGGCGUCGUCGCCGAUGCAAUGAGAAAAAAAAUGGUGACCUCUCUCCCAUUGGAUCAGUGCAAUCAACGACAGCACCACGCCAACAAACCAAGCAAGAGUAGAACCAAUCUGCGAGAUUUUCUUUGUGCUGACAGGAGAUGGGCGACUGAAAACCUACGGUGGAGCAGUCCAACUUCUUUGUGCACAAAUACAAAAAAAGCAAACCCUGCACAAAAGGCCUUGUCCAACGCUGAGCGGUGGCCGAUCGCCCGAUCGGCUUUGUCAGGGGAAAACGGACCAGCCGUAUGGGUCGGGGGUCGAGACCAAUGCCGUGUCAAUGGCUCGCGGCUUAGCGGCUGGCCGGCUAGCCGCAGACUAUCAGCCGGCCGGGCCGCGGCCAAACCGAUCGCCGACGGGGAUAGUGCUGAGCAACGGCUAAAAAUCCUGGAUUAAUCCUGGCGCGAUAAGGACGUCGACAGUGGAAUUCGCAUGUUUUAGCCGUCGGCUAGCCAUCGCCCGCCGCCGCAUACCCGACCGAUUUGAAAUUGGAGAGGAAAAGAAGAGCAAGCGGAAUACUUUGGCAUCGAAAUGGGUCAUGUCUAAUGUUGGUCGAUGCCCAGCCGGUCCAUUCGCGGCCAAUUCGAUCCCUGACAGGGACCGAACCUGUCAACGGUGUCUUCUGGGUGGUGAGUAAAUCGUGCAUAAAAUAUAUGGUCAGUC